ACGCGCAUCCCAGUCUACGUGCAAGACAUCUCCACCAGUGAAAAGGAGAGAAACGAGGCUGCCCUGCCCUCAAGGAGCUCCAAGACAGACAGACAAGGAAGCUGAGGCACAGGUGGUUAUGGAAGCAGACCAAGGUCACUCAACUCCUCAGAGGCAAGGGCAGAAUUCAAGCGCAGGCUCCAGAAUCCAUGCCCUGCAUGACCACACUGGACAAGAGUCUACGGGGUAACGACUUUCAGUCCUGGCACCAUUAUCUGUGACUCUGCCCUGUUCUGUUGGCGCCAACAUCAAAUCACCAAGUCCUCAGUGUCCUUCCUAAGAAAGGUCUUUCAGUGCCCUCUGUCCUUGCCCAUUCAAGUGCUUGUCCCAGGCCACGCCCUUACCCCCCUUUCCUACUAGCUAGCCUGUGAAGCCACCUCCCCCAUCCAGCCACUCACAAGCCUCUGCAAGGAAUUUGUCAAAGCCAGAGAUUUCAUCAUGAGUCCUAUACUCCUGCUCUCUGCCCCUACCUACGGAAUGGCUCUCUGACCUAUUCAGGCUGGUGUUUACACCCCUCAGCCCUGAAUCCCAGGCCCCCCAGGACCCCGCCCUGUCUGUCCUUCCAACCAGACGCCACUGGCCCAUGCGGCAACUGUGUGAUCACCAGACUCGAGUAUCUCUUCUACUACUCUCAACAGCCUACCCAAAAUGGCUCCAGUUUACAUCAAACCCAAGUUCAAAAUGAGAUCCGUCCCUCCCACUCCAAACUGAGAUUUCCCUGACCAUUCCCUCCCAUUACUCGGCAUUUAUGAGUAUAAGGUCUCAUAUACUGAUAGUCUAUAAGCUCCGAAAAGACAGGCAUUGUAUCUUACACCACUUUGCCUCCCUAUAGAAUUAGGCAGUUGGAGCUCCCAAGUUUGAUAGAUAAGUGAAACAAACCAUGAGAUGACAAGGGCCUGGGCUAGGGCGGUCACAGUGGCAACAGACUGGUAAAAGUCAAAGGGUCCAUUUUGAAUUCAGAUAACAGUUGACUUUCUCGAUCCAUGACACCAAACUCUCCUGAUUUUCCUCAUAUCACCUGACUUAAUUCUCUCUCUGUUCAACCUCUAAAUGUUGGAGUCUUUGUUCUAGGUUUUCUGUUCUCCAAACUCCCUCCCAUCUAUCUCCCACUGCACUCUUGGCUCUAAGUAUCAUCCAGGAUUCUCAUGACCAUUUCUAAGGCUAAAUCUAUGGCCAAGCCCAGCGGGAAUGCUUGUUUGAAUGUCUCAGACAUUUCAACCUAACUACUUCCAGAACUAUGAAGUUGACAUCUGGUGGUGAACACAGAGGACUUCUGGAAUGUCUUUCACUCGCUAUGCUAUCAAGUGCAAAGCACCACUGGCUCCCCUUUUUUAAAAAAGGAAAUAAAAGCUUCAUGUGGCCUGCACUGUUACUUCCCUAUGGAAAGCCACAAGGCCUCAAAACUGGUAAAACAUCUGCUUCUCGGAGACCAGCCUCUACCUUGUGGUUUACCAGAAAUGGAGUAGCCUUUAAAACCGAAAAAAGCCAACCCACUCAGAGCAGUCAAUGAUUAGAAUAGGUCAAUAUGUUAAAUAGGUUUCUGAGGCUGUAGUCUCCUUUCUCUCUGUUAAUUCAUCUCUCUUCAAAUGAAGACCUUGAAGCUUUAAAGACUUUAAUAAGUAACACUAUCAACUUAAAAAUGGCCCGGUAUAGACAGACCUUGGAGAUAUUGCAGGCUUGGUUCCAGGCCACCGCAAUAAAUCGAGAACUGCAAUAAGCAAGUCGCAAUCUUUUUGCUGGUGGAGGGUCUUGCCUUCGAUUUGUAAAAAAAACACAACAUCUGUGAGGUGCAAUAAAGCGAAGCCCACUAAAAUGAGGUAUGCCUGUCCUGUAAGCUUCUAAAUGACAGUUCAUAGACACGCUCUGUUUCUUAAUAGCCUUCUAGUAGUGGAGCUGAAAUUCAGCAUUUCCAGUGCUGAAAUUCAAGGCCUCAUGAAUAAUUUCUGUGUCCCUUAGCUUUUCUGUCCUUGACGGUAUACAGACACUAGGAUGCUAGGACGUCCAGGGUGAAGGAGAAAGCAGACUGUGUUACCUUAAAAGGCGGUACCUUGGCUGGGUCACUGCUCCUGGUGCUAAGGAAGCAGCCCUGCUUUUUAUGCUCCACAGACCUGCGCAGCUGGCUGCUCUCAGGUGUAUGAGGGGAGGGUCUUGGGGGUGUUGGCACCUGUUCCUCUGGUGCUGUUUCCAGUCAACCUCAUCAUGUGUUCCUUGGGGGCACAAAACAAGUCCUUUUCUAUUUCUGAAUCCCCACAGCCAGAUGAGAACCAAAUAUAAACAUAAAUUUAUUUAUAGCAAGGAGAUUGUGCGUUGCUUUGUCUCACAAAUUUACAGUAGUUUGUGAUUGGGCUCCAGGUUUUAUUUAUUGCAAUAUAUUUUGACAUAUAACAUUGUGUAAAUUUAAGGCGUACAACAUGUUAACCUGAUACAUUUGUACAUAAUAUGAUUGCCUUGUAGUGAUAAUUAGAACCUGUUCCAUAAUUAUGCUCCAGAUUUUGAACAAAUUGCUAUAGCUUUCCACUACUAAGCUAAAACUUCACUUCAUCAUCAGGAGCUAACCUACCUAUAAGCUCCUAAUAGAGCGUAUUUCACUCCCAGCUUUUAAAAAGUGAGUUACCUAACUACAGUACUUAUUGUUAAACUGGGAUUUAAUAGAAUCUGGAAAGCUCUAGUCCUCAUCAUUUUGGGUAGCAUGGAAAGAAUAUGAGAUUCAAACUCAGAAGUCCUGGGGUCUAGUCUGUCUGCUCCAUAAAGGACAGUUUCACAUAGCUGUUUAGACACAGCCACUUUUAAAAUGGGAGAUACUGAGUAGGAAUAAACAUGAUUGGGUCAAAAUGCAAUAAUAUUUUCUCUUAUGACAAAGUAGUGUGUUCAAAAGUUCCUUGUGCUGUUGCUGAGCUGAGCCCGUCCCAUGUCAGAGCCUCCCGAGCCAAGCUCUGCCCACGAGCGAUGAUGGCCUCACCGGCUCCCCAGGUGUCCACCCUCUCUAUCCUCAGGGCGGCAGGGCAGGCCGAGGACAAGCAGCUUCACUGUUCCGUGUCAUGAUGUGAGAAAGGCACCGGUUUGGAUU